GUGUCAAUCCCUGGGUGAGAGGGCGGGGCGGAGGCGCAGUCUGCUGCCCCGGCGCGCCGGCGGACGCUGGCUGGCGGCCGCGCAGCGCUCUGAGGCCCAGGAGGCGGUCCAGGCAGGCGUUCGCCCGGCCCCGUGCGCGCCGCAGUCCCCCGCCCCCGUUCAGUGCGGCAGCGGCUGCGGGCCAGCCAAGAUGAGCAAUCUGGGGCACAGCCAGAUUGAGGAUUCCCUCUGGGCAAUGCAAAAGGAACCUCAUCUCCUGGAACAGAGUAGCAAGAUGCCCCUUCCUUCAGCGUGCGUGUGUGCAUGAUUAGUCGUGUCCAACUUUGUGACCCCAUGGAAUGUAGCCCACCAGGCUCCUCUGUUCAUGGGAUUAUCCAGCUAAAACCAUCUCUGCCAUCCUGAGUCGCUUCAGUCGUGUCCAACUCUGUGCAACCCCAUCGACUGGAGCCCUUCAGGCUCCUCUGUCCAUGGGAUCCUCCAGGCAAGAAUAUUGGAGUGGGUUGCCAUCUCCUUCUCCAGGGGAUCUUCCAAAGGGAGAGAUUGAACCCUCAUCUCUUAAGUCUCCUGCAUCGGCAGGCGGGUUCUUUUACCACUAGUGCCACCUGCCACCAAAACCAUCUCUAGACAUUGUUAAAUUGCCCUGGUUGGGGGCAAAACUGCUGCCCAGUUGAAACC
ensembl:lncRNA